UCUCACUGUUUUUGAGCUGAGCGAUUUGUUGGGCUAGAAUAGAAAUGAUCGAUCCUGAUUCCUGACGAGUGCUGCAUCAACAAGGUAAGCAAACUGCUGGCUUGUUGUGUGUGCUUGAUGCCUUUGACUGUCGAUUACUAGUACUGUGGUUGUUCAAGCAGGGAGCAAAGUGAAUCAGUGAUGCUUGAGGGGGUUUAACACUUGAAGAGAGUGAGGGUUUUGGUUACCUAGCGUACCGUGGGGGGCGACGAGGUGCGGC
rnacentral:lncRNA from 1 species